rnacentral:tRNA from 1 species
AUUUUAUUAGUAUAAUAAGUAUAUUUGUUUUCCAAACAAAAGGUUUAGUAUUAAUUAAAUAAAGUA